UUCGCUGUAGGGAUAGGAUCGCUUCUUAUUCCACUAGCCUCGUUUUUAAUCAGUUCAUUGCAAAGUUUGAAUGCAAAUACAGCAGCUACAGCUGCAGCUACAACUGCAACUCAAGCUAAUGCUGGAACUGCAGGUAACCAAGGGCAAGGACAAGGUGGUGGCACCGGAAGAAGAAAACGCAAUGCCCAUUAUCAGCCGUGGUCAGAUCGCUUCAUAACGGCACUCGAAGUGUUAGAUCUCGCAUUACAAAAGAACUAUGCACGUUGAAGCUCGAGAGAUUUUAACACGCCGUGAGAGUCUUAAAACUAUAGUCUUGCAGAUGUUACAAACUCCAAUACUUUCCUCAAACACGAACAGCAAUGUCAACAGUAGCUGACACUGAAGACGAUGGAUAGUUAAUACACUUUUAGUGUCCAGUGAUGCGUUGGCUCGAACUCGUUUGUAAUGCAUCAUCGACUUUAGCCAUAAGCUCUAUAAACUGUCGAGGGACUGUGGUAGAGAAUAAGUUGUGCUCUGACCUUUUAUUCGCCGGGAAAAAUGGUAUAUUAUAUCCUCCAAACCCUCCAGGUCUACCAAAGCUACCAAAGGCAAGUCCAAUAAGAGGAAUGAAGAUAAUACUUAGCGCCAACAAUAAAAUCGUUGGAAUGAUGAUGGAAGUUAAAGAUGUAUUCCCCAUAAGAUUAGUUGUACCGGUUUGUCUCUCUACGUUUGUAUUUCCUCUAAUAUCUUCAGUAAGUACGAUCUGAAGACAACCUGCUGCAACAGCUACAAGUAUCAAAAGUUUUAAUAGUGACAUUUCAAAACGUUAUCUAUACGAGGAACAAAUUAUCUGGAGUAAAUGGCUUAUAUAUUCUAUAAGACACUAUCUAAAGUUUUUGAAUCAGAGUUCCAUAUGUAUACCUAUAGGCUUAAUGAAAUUACAUCGCAUAAUGCUAUGCUUUUAUAGUUGAAAGAAACAAAUGAUCUCGAUUUAAGAUAAAUUGUACAUUGCAACUAGAAAGUUAAAUUAGGUCAUUUGAGACAACCACGGAUAUCCUUUUCUUUAUUGCCAUUUUGCUUUUAGAAGUUAGAGAAAGAAGUUCUUUCUUCCAAAACUGUAAACGUGGUCACUCAAGCCAUACACUGUGCCUUCCUAAUUCAUCAGCAACUUCAACUGUGGAAAACGGAAACAACUAGAGCAUAUAGUUCCAUGCAGACAAAUACUUCCAAUGUCAAUGACAAGCAUGCCACUUCAGUUUGGAGUUGAUCCUACUCCAUCUACAUACGUCGUUAAUGUGUCGUAGUAUUCUGAAAUGAUCCCGAUAAGUAAAGUUGAACAAAUUCACACGUUUUUACACCAGGUCAAUAAAUUGUAUGUACUCUGUUACGAGGUUUUAUGCAAAGAAAUGUUCGCAAAUGUGUGUUUCAAAGCAAAUCAGGUCUAACGUCUGUAAAUAUUCCACUUCGAAAAUUGCGUGUUAUUUAUCGGUUUAGCAUAGACAACUAAAUAAAGCUUCUUAUCUGUUGAAUACACAAAACUGUCCA